rnacentral:rRNA from 1 species
UACGGAGGGGGCUAGCGUUGUUCGGAAUUACUGGGCGUAAAGCGCACGUAGGCGGGCUAUCAAGUUGGGGGUGAAAUCCCGGGGCUCAACCCCGGAACUGCCUCCAAAACUGGUAGUCUUGAGGUCGAGAGAGGUGAGUGGAAUUCCGAGUGUAGAGGUGAAAUUCGUAGAUAUUCGGAGGAACACCAGUGGCGAAGGCGGCUCACUGGCUCGAUACUGACGCUGAGGUGCGAAAGCGUGGGGAGCAAAC